rnacentral:sRNA from 1 species
CCAAGUGCUGUAGAGAAAGACUGAUCUUCUAAAGUUUCACCUUUAAUUUAGAAUAUAUCCUGUAGGUCCACAAAAAUAAAAAAAGAGGAAAAAGUAUAGUUCUUUUCUCAAAAUGUAAAUAUGUUAGUUCAUACACUUCAUUACACAAGGUGUGUGUGUGUGUGUGUGUGUGUGUGUGUAUGCACGCGCACACAUAGGCAGAUCCCUCUAAAAGAUAGUUAUUUUUUUAAAUACAUAAUUAGAAAGAAAGCUACAUGUUUACCUGUGAGUGGCUGUUAAUUGAUUCAGAACUAAAGAGGAUUAAGUACAUAGACGUUAAUAUGUCCACUGUUAUUAAUUUCCAAACAACAAUAGCAACAUUAUCCUGAAUAAAUCUGUUACUAGUACGGAUAAAUAGUUGUUUAAGACUCCACUGAUGUCAGAACUGAAAUCCAUAGGUCAGGACUUACUUCACCAAUCCAGUCCUUAGGAACACAAGUUUUGAAUGUGGUCCGAGGACUGCCCCUAUGUUAUCCCACAACCAGAAUCCCAACAGAAGGCAUUAAUGAGAUUAGAAGAAAGAAGAGUUAGAGGCAUCAACGGCUCGGCUCCGUUUCAUUAAUUCAUCAGCUCGGUGUGCCGGAAGAGCUACAGACUUCCCCAGUUCUUGUUCGACAUCAACCUGGGAGUAUUCCUUGACUAAGUCGUUCAGCUCUUGGCAGAACAAUCAGAUUCCCUAUUGUACCCCGAAGCUGGUCAAUCACAGCUGCACUCUUACACCACCCGCCUACAGCCUUUGUGUCUGUAACACAUCCACAAACGCUCUGGAAUAAACACAAAAUUUCUACGUUGCUCUGUUGAUCUCAGCAAUGCAGUGAAACAGGUCGGUCUCCUGCAUGGAGGAGGCAUCAUUUUCAAAAAUAUGCACAGGCAUCAGAAACAUAUGCAUCAUUCCCAAGACUUGGGAAGCUGACUUGAGAAUCCUCAAGGAUCUAGAAAACGAAGGAACAAUUGUGUCUCCUUAAAUGUAUUACCAUCUCAUUCUUUUCUUUCAGCUGCUCAACAGACAUUUACAAAGUCAGGUCACAGAAUGGCUGCCAUACAACCUCGAUUUUCUGCAAGGCUCGCCAAGCUAAUCGUGAUUAGCUGCUACAGACAGAAGAUAGGGCCGGUGAAGAAAGUCCAAACAAUGGAGUCUAAUGUGAGACCACAAAGGCUUUCAUGUUGAGAAUGUAACCUCUUGUGAGAUAGAUUCAGCAGCCUCAAGCUUAGAAAACUCCAGGAAAGUUCUUCAGUUUCUCUGAGGAAGAGAUUGGCUGAGUGAAACCAUGUCAAAUAGGUGGAGCGAGUGACAUCUAAGUAAACACAGAUCCCCAGAUGGCUACCCACCGGCCUCCUGUCCCUGAAGCUCUCCUCCGAGUAGACAUUGCUUCAGAACAACUCUGGAGCCAACACUGACGUCAAACAAGAGUACAUGUGGAAUGACCCAUAGCUCCAGCUGCAUAUAUAGCAGAGGAUGGCAUUGUCUGGCAUCAAUAGAAGGAGAAGCCCUUGGUCCUGUGAAGACUGGAUGCUCCAGUGAAAUACAUCUUUGCCUUUGAACAAUACGAGGCCUAAGUGUCAUGUGACUUAGCAUCCUGGCUGCAUGUGUCAUGCAUAAUUUCCUUCACUUUAAUAGUACUGUGUUUAUUUUUAAAAGAAAAAGAACUAGAAAAUAUUAUCCUUAUAAAAGAGACACAUGGUAUGUACUCACU